UUUACGGAAGUAAACAUGGCCUCCACUCCAGUCGGUCUCAGUAUUUUGGCGCAUUUGUGCCAAUUUCAAGGAUUUUGUGCAAUAAAAAGUCAAUUAAAUUUUUUUUAACCGAAUUAUUGUUCGUGGAAGUUUGAGAAGGAAGAGGACAAGUAUUUCUGGCUUUGAAGAGUCUGUCUGUGGGCGGGCAGUCUGAGACAGGAGUGGUGGAAUCUUCUCGCUGGAACCGGUCAUUCCCACCGCACGCAGGAGACGGGUCGCAGAACCUCUUCUCUGAGAGACACUGGCGUUCACCGCAGCCCUCCGACUUUCAGGGGCCGGUGGGAGGAGGCAAGAGAGUCCGCAGCUGCAGAAGGAACGACGCAAGCUCUCCGCUCAUGUCUACG